UGGCGGCAGGCCUAACACAUGCAAGUCGAGCGGUAACAUUUCUAGCUUGCUAGAAGAUGACGAGCGGCGACGGGUGAGUAACGCGUAGAAAUCUACCUAGUAGUGGGGGAUAGCCCAGAGAAAUUUGGAUUAAUACCGCAUACGCCCUACGGGGGAAAGCGGGGGAUCUUCGGACCUCGUGCUAUUAGAUGAGUCUGCGUCGGAUUAGCUUGUUGGUGAGGUAAUGGCUCACCAAGGCGACGAUCCGUAGCUGGUCUGAGAGGAUGACCAGCCACACUGGAACUGAGACACGGUCCAGACUCCUACGGGAGGCAGCAGGUGGGGAAUAUUGCACAAUGGGCGCAAGCCUGAUGCAGCCAUGCCGCGUGUGUGAAGAAGGCCGUUAGGGUUGUAAAGCACUUUCAGCAGUGAGGAAAGGGGUGUCGUUAAUAGCGCCAUCCUGUGACGUUAACUGCAGAAGAAGGACCGGCUAACUCCGUG
rnacentral:rRNA from 1 species